CGUGUGCAACUAUGUGUACUACCACUCUCUCCGGUUCGCGGAGCAGCACGGCAUCAAGUCUCUGUUUGUGCAUGUGCCCCUCUUCUCGACAGUCGACGAGGAGGUCCAGAUCCAUUUCGUCGCUUCCCUCGUCGAAGCUCUCGCUAGCCUGAACUAGGAAAGGACAACUUAAAAGGUGGGUUUUACCUGGUCCUUCGAUCCCCAUUUUGUUACCAAGAGCUGGCUGGCUAAAUGAUUGAAAUCCUUGUCCUGUUUUCAUUGCCUGUAGGUCAGCGGCUUGACCUGGAAGAUGUAAAGUUGGACGCAGACUGAAUAAAAAUUGUGUGGUGAUUGGCGCCUAUUGGUCAGAUCUUGCUCCAAAGAAGGGUGUAUUUAAGGGGAGAGAAAAAGGAAAAAAAACGAUGCUCUAGAGUGUGUGUGUGUGAAAUGCCGGCUUGCAUGCCAUCAGUUACAUGUCCUUAAC
rnacentral:lncRNA from 1 species